GCAAGUCGAGCGCGAAAGAAUUCCUCGGAAUUUGAUUAGAGCGGCGAACGGGUGAGUAACACGUGAAUAACCUGCCUUAAAGUUGGGGACAACCAUUCUAACGGAUGGCCAAUACCGAAUAUUGUGGAGAGUCGCAUGACUCUUUGACUAAAGCCUUCGGGCGCUUUAAGAUGGAUUCGCGUCGCAUUAGCUAGUUGGUAGGGUAAUGGCCUACCAAGGCAACGAUGCGUAGCCGGCCUGAGAGGGUGAUC
rnacentral:rRNA from 1 species